rnacentral:rRNA from 1 species
AUCCCUGGCAGCUUGCUGCCGGGGUGAGAGUGGCGAACGGGUGAGUAAUGCGUGACCGACCUGCCCCAUGCACCGGAAUAGCUCCUGGAAACGGGUGGUAAUGCCGGAUGUUCCACAUGAGCGCAUGCGAGUGUGGGAAAGGCUUUUUGCGGCAUGGGAUGGGGUCGCGUCCUAUCAGCUUGUUGGUGGGGUAACGGCCUACCAAGGCGUUGACGGGUAGCCGGCCUGAGAGGGCGACCGGCCACAUUGGGACUGAGAUACGGCCCAGACUCCUACGGGAGGCAGCAGUGGGGAAUAUUGCACAAUGGGCGCAAGCCUGAUGCAGCGACGCCGCGUGCGGGAUGGAGGCCUUCGGGUUGUAAACCGCUUUUGUUCAAGGGCAAGGCACGGUCUUUGGCCGUGUUGAGUGGAUUGUUCGAAUAAGCACCGGCUAACUACGUGCCAGCAGCCGCGGUAAUACGUAGGGUGCAAGCGUUAUCCGGAUUUAUUGGGCGUAAAGGGCUCGUAGGCGGUUCGUCGCGUCCGGUGUGAAAGUCCAUCGCUUAACGGUGGAUCCGCGCCGGGUACGGGCGGGCUUGAGUGCGGUAGGGGAGACUGGAAUUCCCGGUGUAACGGUGGAAUGUGUAGAUAUCGGGAAGAACACCAAUGGCGAAGGCAGGUCUCUGGGCCGUUACUGACGCUGAGGAGCGAAAGCGUGGGGAGCGAACAGGAUUAGAUACCCUGGUAGUCCACGCCGUAAACGGUGGAUGCUGGAUGUGGGGCCCUUUUUCCGGGUCCUGUGUCGGAGCUAACGCGUUAAGCAUCCCGCCUGGGGAGUACGGCCGCAAGGCUAAAACUCAAAGAAAUUGACGGGGGCCCGCACAAGCGGCGGA